UUAAUAGCAUAUUCAUUUGACGUUAGCUGCAGAAGAAAGCACCGGCUAACUCCGUGCCAGCAGCCGCGGUAAUACGGAGGGUGCGAGCGUUAAUCGGAAUUACUGGGCGUAAAGCGCAUGCAGGUGGUUUGUUAAGUCAGAUGUGAAAGACCCGGGGCGUCAACCUCGGAAUUGCAUUUGAAACUGGCAAACUAGAGUACUGUAGAGGGGGGUAGGAAUUUCAGGUGUAGCGGUGAAAUGCGUAGAGAUCUGAAGGAAUACCGGUGGCGAAGGCGGCCCCCUCGGACAGAUACUGACACUCAGAUGCGAAAGCGUGGGGAGCAAACAGGAUUAGAUACCCUGGUAG
rnacentral:rRNA from 1 species